rnacentral:rRNA from 1 species
UACGAAGGGGGCUAGCGUUGUUCGGAAUUACUGGGCGUAAAGGGCGCGUAGGCGGUGCGGCCAGUCAGGCGUGAAAGGCCCGGGCUCAACCUGGGAACGGCGCUUGAUACUGCUGCGCUUGAAGGCGGGAGAGGAUGGCGGAAUUCCCAGUGUAGAGGUGAAAUUCGUAGAUAUUGGGAAGAACACCGGUGGCGAAGGCGGCCAUCUGGCCCGCGAUUGACGCUGAGGCGCGAAAGCGUGGGGAGCAAACAGG